rnacentral:snoRNA from 1 species
GGGGUGUGCUCAGAGCAGGGGGCCUGAAGAAUGGCUCUUCUGUUUACAAUACACCCAACAGGAACCUCGGGUCACUGUAUGAGGGACACAAAACUCGUGGCCUCCCUAUGAACAAAUGCCCUACACGU